rnacentral:rRNA from 1 species
UUCGGGAUUCUAGUGGCGGACGGGUGAGUAACGCGUAAGAAUCUAACUUCAGGACGGGGACAACAGUUGGAAACGACUGCUAAUACCCGAUAUGCCGCGAGGUGAAACCUAAUUGGCCUGAAGAAGAGCUUGCGUCUGAUUAGCUAGUUGGUGGGGUAAGAGCCUACCAAGGCGACGAUCAGUAGCUGGUCUGAGAGGAUGAGCAGCCACACUGGGACUGAGACACGGCCCAGACUCCUACGGGAGGCAGCAGUGGGGAAUUUUCCGCAAUGGGCGAAAGCCUGACGGAGCAACGCCGCGUGAGGGAGGAAGGUCUUUGGAUUGUAAACCUCUUUUCUCAAGGAAGAAGUUCUGACGGUACUUGAGGAAUCAGCCUCGGCUAACUCCGUGCCAACAGCCGCGGUAAUACGGGGGAGGCAAGCGUUAUCCGGAAUUAUUGGGCGUAAAGCGUCCGCAGGUGGUCAGCCAAGUCUGCCGUCAAAUCAGGUUGCUUAACGACCUAAAGGCGGUGGAAACUGGCAGACUAGAGAGCAGUAGGGGUAGCAGGAAUUCCCAGUGUAGCGGUGAAAUGCGUAGAGAUUGGGAAGAACAUCGGUGGCGAAAGCGUGCUACUGGGCUGUAUCUGACACUCAGGGACGAAAGCUAGGGGAGCGAAAGGGAUUAGAUACCCCUGUAGUCCUAGCCGUAAACGAUGGAUACUAGGCGUGGCUUGUAUCGACCCGAGCCGUGCCGAAGCUAACGCGUUAAGUAUCC